AGGAUAAACGGUGGCGGCGUGCAUGAGACAUGCAAGUCAAACGGACGAUCGGGGUUCGCUCUGAUCGUUAGUGGCGGACGGCUGAGUAACGCGUAGGUGACCUGCCCCGAAGUGGGGAAUAACUGCCCGAAAGGGUGGCUAAUACCGCAUGUGGUGGUGCGUUCGAUCGCACCAGUAAAGCCGCAAGGCGCUUCGGGAGGGGCCCGCGUCCGAUUAGCUCGUUGGUGAGGUAACGGCUCACCAAGGCGACGAUCGGUAGGUGGUCUGAGAGGACGAUCACCCAGACUGGGACUGAGACACGGCCCAGACUCCUACGGAGGCAGCAGUCGGGAAUUUUGCGCAAUGGACGAAAGUCUGACGCAGCAACGCCGCGUGAGGGAUGAAGGCCUUCGGGUUGUAAACCUCUUUUUCCAGGGAAGAUAAUGACGGUACCUGGCGAAUAAGUCACGGCUAACUACGUGCCAGCAGCCGC
rnacentral:rRNA from 1 species